rnacentral:sRNA from 1 species
AAUUAUUAAUUUAUGAUAUUGAUGGGACCAUAUAUUUACAUAAGAUUU